rnacentral:rRNA from 2 species
UUCUAAGGGCGGUGAAGUCAGACCGGAAGGACUGGUGGAGCGCUUAGAAGUGAGAAUGCCGGUAUGAGUAGCGAAAGAAGGGUGAGAAUCCCUUCCACCGAAUAUCUAAGGUUUCCUGAGGAAGGCUCGUCCGCUCAGGGUUAGUCGGGACCUAAGCCGAGGCCGAUAGGCGUAGGCGAUGGACAACAGGUAGAGAUUCCUGUACCAGUGCUAAUUGUUUAACCGAUGGGGUGACACAGAAGGAUAGGGAAUCGCACGAAUGGAAAUGUGCGUCCAAGCAGUGAGUGUGAG